UGGUUUGAAGAAAGCAAAAAUGCAACUCUUGUCAUUAUCAAGAAUUAUAAGACUCAGUGACUGUGAGCUUUCUGAGUGGUCACGUAAGGAUGAUCAGUGUUUAUGCAGUGAAUGUGUCUGACUUGACUUUUUUUCUUUUUUUCUUUUUUUCUUUUUUUCUUUUUUUUUUCCAGCACCCAGGCUAGAGUGCAGUGGUACAAUCACAGCUCACUGCAGCCUCAAACCUCUGGGCUCCAGCAAUCCUCCCACCUCAACCUCCCCAGUAGCUGGGACUACAGGAGCAUGACACCACGCCCAGCUAAUUUAUUUUUAUUUUUUAUAGAGAUGGGGUCUUUCUAUGUUGCACAGGCUGGUCAUGACCUCCUGGCCUUAUGCAAUCCUCCCACUUUGGCCUCCCAAAGUGCUGGGAUUACAGGUGGGAGCCACUGUGCUCAGCCCUCUGUUUUUUGUUGUUGUUGAAGUUCUACUUGUUCAAAUUCUUACUUCUACAU
rnacentral:lncRNA from 1 species